UCUGGUAAGAAAAUCUAAUAUAAGAAUGGCAUAUUUCUACGUCUAAUAGAUAUGAAAUAGACUUCUGAGUUAUGUAUGUGUACUAUUGUUUAAGAUAAUUCAUCACUGUUGUCAACACUGUUUUCAUUCGAAUGUUUAAUAAAUUUACAUAAAGUAACUAAACAUAAGUAAUCUAUUUCAUUUGUCCAUUAGUACUGUUGAAAAAUUGUGGAAGAUUUAUGAACAACAUGUAAAUGUAGUAUUGAGCUUAUAAAUCACAGAGGUAACGUAAAUCUUGUCUGGAUGUUACAGGGACAGACGAGCACAGCCGUUUGCUUAUCCGGUGGAGAGUGGCUCAUGAAGCCCUCUUCACCGGGAAGCGGAAUGCUGCCAUCAAAGGCUUUGAAUCUUUUGUGGUGGAGCAAGACCUGCAAGGCAGGGUGACGGCAGCAUUUGUAAAAAAAAAAAAAAAAAAAAAAAAAGGGAAAACCUUAAACAAAAAUACAAAGAUCUGAAAUGUCCGCAGACAGGGGUGAGCACUGAGGAUGGAGGGGCCACAGCAGCGUCCUGGAAGUGGUACACUGCCAUGUAUGAGGCAAUUGGGGGCAGACCCUCCAUCUCUCCUCCUGCCCUCGUUGCCUCAUGUGGGCCGGAUGUUGCUGUGGCCUCUUCAUCCUCAGUGAGGCCAGAGC